rnacentral:rRNA from 1 species
UCAGUAGCGCGGUGGUCCCACCUGACCCCAUGCCGAACUCAGAAGUGAAACGCCGUAGCGCCGAUGGUAGUGUGGGGUCUCCCCAUGCGAGAGUAGGGAACUGCCAGGC